GCCGGAAUGGCGCAGUGGUAACGCGUUUGGCUUGUACUCUACCGAGACGGAGACCAAAAGACCCCUGGUUCAAUCCCAGGUUUCGGCA